GGAUUGAUGCAUCGGUCGUGCCUUAAGGGGUAUGAACUGGUGUGGUCAAUUUCUUACCUUCUGGUGAAUUGUGAUGCCCUCCUUAAUUGGGUGUUUCAAUGAACUAGGACUUUUUACUUUGAAAAAAUUAGAGUGUUUAAAGCAGGCAUUAUUUGCUUGAAUACAUUAGCAUGGAAUAAUAAAAUAGGACAAUGAUUCUAUUUUGUUGGUUUCUAGGAUCACUGUAAUGAUUAAUAGGGAUAGUUGGG
rnacentral:rRNA from 1 species